AUAUCUGAGGUGCGACUGCGGGACGUAGAGCGGACUGGGCCUUUCCCGUUGGCGCGUGGCCUCAAUCAGAGAUGGGGUUCCGCCAUAUUGCUCACGCUGGCCUAGAACUGCCGAGCUCAAAGAAUCCACCUACCGUGACGUCCCAAAGUUGUGGAAUUGCAGUGCUUCACUGGCCCCGGCCUUAUUUCCAAAAUGAAAUAACUCACAUAAGUUCUGUGGUGACAUGUAAAAACCCAAUUCCCGUAACAGCUUUCCCAACGUUGAUUUUUUAGACAUGAUG
rnacentral:lncRNA from 1 species